UCGGUAAAUUUCACUCAUAUUGUUGACAAAGCGACCUUACCCAUUUAUGAGUGAAUGAGAUUACUCAUAUUUGGGUGAAAAAACUGUCUUUGUGUUUGUUGUUUUUGUUGUCAAGUUUCAAACAUAAUCCAAGACUCCGAGAUCAAACCUGAAAACUGUUCCGUUCCGGGUCCGGCGGCUCGUGGACCAGUAAAUGUAUCAAAUAACCUUUCUUGCGAGUGGUGCCACAGUGUCAUAUGCGACGGUGGAGCAUCCACAACGGACCCCAACCCAGCAGUGCAGCAGUUCUCCUUUAUCAUCUCAGCGAAUUCAGCUGCAGUGGAGAGCUUGCACCUGUUAUGGGAUCCAGAAACCACACACCCUGUUAACAGAAAUAUAGUCCGCCGGAACGAAAUGACAUCCUGCUCAAGAGUACUCAAAAAUGUAUGGUCCACCUGAUUUGCAAGCCAGCGGUACCCACCCCAUCAACAACCUUCGGAUCGACUCUGUCAAAAUGGACGGAAACAGUCAUAGAACCAGAUUAUACCCACAUCCCAAGAUAGUGCUUGCAAUCUUCGUGGAUCGCGCGCUUCUAUCUACUUCGGCAAUAUCCAAGGAAUCUGGCGAUGGGUAUAACUGCAGACACCGCAUUCGACGAUGACAACGAAGGUGGAAA